CUUGGAAGGAUGUCUAAUUGGUUCAACACGGACCUCUUUGAUUCAACCCUUUCCGCUAUGUCCCGUAAAUUCCUAUUCACCCGUCACUCAAAUCAGCUGAACUCACCAUCUACUUUCAGAUAAUUGAAAUAGCCUUUCAGUUGGUUCUUUUAGUGAUACUUUCUUCUGUAGAACGAAGGCGUUCAUUGAAAAUGCCCCAGUUUCACUUCCAAUCACCGAGGAAAAUCAGAAAUCACAGAGGCAAAAGCUACGAGAUUCCAGAAUUCUGCAGCUAUGAGAUUCUGAAGGAACAGACAAACUGUUAAACAAGUGAGUUGGUUGAGCUUGGCCAUACUGACAGAGAUCGAGCUGUGUCCGCAGCUUCUCACCCAACACCCGCUAUAAUAUUCCCUUUUGUAGCAGCAACGAUGGCUAGAAUACUCCAAGCGAGAGAAAUUCUGAUAACCCUCAGCAGCGCACUGAUCUUCACAGAAUUGAGGUGUUUGCUUGAGGUCUUCUGCUUGAUGAAGGAGCUCUGUCACUAUAUACUUAAACAUGUUUACAUUUGAAGAGGUUGCUGGCGUAAUUUUUUGCAUAUGAAAGAGAUGUUAUGAGGGUUUCUUUACUCCCAUAAUCAUUGCUCUGCAGUUCAUUGAGUAACGCUACUCAUUGCUCUGAAGAUUGCAUUUUUAGAGCAUUUGUAGCGUUACUCAUUGCUCUGAAGAUUGCAUUUUCAGCAUUACUCAAUGAACUACAAAACAAUGAUUAGGGGAGUAAAUAAAUCUUCAGAGUGGUUUUACUCUGCUUGCCAAAAAUGCAAUGAAAGACAUGCAAUAAUCAACAGCACACUGUGGUGCUACUCUUGCGAUGAAGAAGUCGAGUUUCCAGAAACCAGGUAAAUAUAUUUCGAAAUAGACAUCUGAAGUGUUAGGCAAACAAAUAUCCCUAUCGGAUUCCUGUCGGGAAAGUUCUCAGGUUAUUCAGCGGUAAGUCUAGCAACGCCUAUCUUUAAAAUACAUCUCAUAUAUUUUCUACAUGUAAAAGUUAGAGCACUGAUACAAAAUUACACAAGUUAAAAGCUACUUCACACCGACUUAUUCUUAUUUGUGUUGUUUAGGAUGUAUUUGUAAGGUUGUUGCUUGCAAGACUAGAGCAGUGAGUAUGCCAAAAAUCAAUCCAUAUUUAUUAUUGUACACUA